rnacentral:lncRNA from 1 species
UCCAUUUAGACAUUUCACCAUUGGUGGUUGAAGAAGCUCAAGAAGAUGAGAAAGUGUAACCACUUUCUCCCAAGACUCCUUCAUAACCCAAACUCGAAUGCCUCGAAUGCCUGUAAUUUGAUCAUUAAAACAUAGCACACAAAGGAAACCACCAAGCACAUCCACAAUGCCAUACAUGUCUUGAUCACAGGGAAGCUCAAUCCUUCCAAACACCUCAUUCUUCAAGUCCAAGAAAAU